UUCUCUAUGGAUGUCCUGAUUUUUAUUUUUAUUUUCCCUGGGGUUUCCUUUCUGCUUCACUUGUUUACUUACUUUGCUAGGACACCUUUAAUCAGGUACAUUUAAUCCUCUCAAAUUUUGCACUCAUAUUGGCAUACUUUUGUAGUUCUUCCUAAUGCAAGGUUUGUUUUAAGCCUGCUUUAUUGAAGAAAAAAGAAAUCAUGACCUGCUCAUCAAACCCAAAUAAUUUUCUCUGUAUUUUGGGUCGUUUCCCAGGUAGUAUCAAAAGCUUCUUUCCAGCAGGAAAUGGAGGUGUUUUUUUUAGUGUGCUCUCUGGGCAUCACAUCUACGCCUCCUGCCUAGCAGACACUACGUUGGUGGUUCUCAACCUCAGCAAUUUUAAGAUGUGUGGACUUCAAUUCCCAGAAUUCCCCAGCCAGCAUGGGGAUGGGAACACGGCUAGGAAAUUCUGGAAGUUGAAGUCCAUAGAUCGUAAAGUUGAUGAGGUGGAGAAAUAGUAUAGUGGACCAGGACUUUACUAAAUAGCUCUGCAUAAGGGUUGUUCUGGGGCAGAACGUGAGUGCAACGGAGUCCCCCCAGUCGGCUGCUCCAGGUACAAAUCCUAAAUUGAUUUGCCCCAAUUUGACAGCUAUAGAAAAAGGUAUGUAUCUGGAGGGGGGGGGGAAAUCUUGCACUCUUAUCUCUUAUCUUUUUUUUUCCUUUUUUUAUUUUAGCACUGUCUUGACUCCACAGCAACUCUAAGUGGCUCAAAUAUAAAACAGAAUACAAAAUCAAUUCAUUAAAAAUGCAAUAAUAAAUAGCAAGCUAUUAUAUAUGUUAUAUAACAGUCUGGGUAACAACUUCAACACAAAACAAAAAAUAUCAAUCAUAUCUAACAAGGGGGGGGCGGGUAUCCACCCACCCUUCCCAAGGCCUGGGGCACUGCCAGGUCUUUAAGGCUUCCCAGGGUGGCAUCAUCCAGAUCUCGGUGACAAUUUCAUCCCAGACACUAGACAGGGAACCUGAUUCUUGGCUCCAGACAAUGUCACUGUUGAUUGAGGGACCUGGAGCAACCUGCCAUAUUGGCUGAGCAGAUUCCACUCUCUCAAUUAGCCUGAUCCUGGGCCACGUAGGGCUUUCUGGGUGGUAACCAGUAGACUGAAUCCCUCCCAGAAGCAGACUGGCAACCAGGGCACUCAUGAAGCAGGAGUGUCACAUGGGCUUGCCAAGACAGACCCACAGAUCAGGCCCUCUAAUACCCCACAAAGGAGGAGGCUGGGAGUGCCCUCUCCCUGCAAGCCAACAGCAACCCAGGUGAGGAGGAGAAUCACUGCAGGUGUUGUCACCAACCGUCCCCUCCCUCCAGCUGGCCCAGAAGGAUGGCUUGGCUGAGGAUAUAACAAACUUCUGAAAGAUCAAGGAGCACAAGGAUGGAUGUCCCACUUUCAUCUUGGCUCCCACCACAAAUCAUCUACUGGCAUGACCAAGUCUGUCUCCAUAAGAUAUUUUAGGAUAGUUGUGUAUUUUGCCUUUAAGACAGUACUUCCUCCUGGAGCUCUUCAAGAGUUUGGGAUGUGGAUGUGGUGAUGGCCACUAACUUGGGUGGCUUUAAAGGGCUAAACCACUUGAAAAGUUUUUGGACGACAGUCUGUGGAGGAUCAUUAUCCUGAAUAUUCCAGGUUGGUGCAAUGGGCCUUGUUGCCAGGGAACAUGAAGUGGGGAAGGGCACGUUUCCGUCUCCAGUUCCCAAGCUCUUUGGAGGCAUCUCAUUGACUACUAUGACAAACAAAGAACUGACCUCAUGGGCCUUGGCCUGAUCCAGCAGGACUGUGCCCACACUUGAAUGGGAAUAGAUACACCUUGGUCCAUUUUUGCCUCAUACAAUGACUUACUGGAUGCUUGCAGGAAGCCCACGGAUCAAGGCAUAAACAAAUGUUUAUAAAUAUGGUUUUAUUUAUUUAUUAAUAUAUGAAAAGGCAGCAUUCCUCUCCCGUAGUAGCUGCUCCCAUGUAUCUCGCAUGUAGAGGCAGAGAGCACCUGUGCCCCAAGCACCCCAUAGGCACCAAAGCUACAUUUGUCUAUUAAGAGCCACAGUUGGCACAGUGGUUAGAUCGCAGUACUGCAGGCUAGUAGUACUGCCAGCAGCCAGCAGUUUGGCAGUUCGAUUCUCACGGGCUCGAGGUUGACUCCUUCCAUUCUUCCAAGGUGGGUAAAAUGAGGACCUAGAUUGUUGGGGGCAACAUGCUGACUUGGUUGCCCUCCACUUAGGGCUGUGAAAGCACUGUGAAGUGGUAUGCAAGUCAAAGUGCUAUUGCUAUUGUUAUUCCCCUUUAGAAGCCAUCCACAUGAGCAGCCAAGUAACCAUUAUGGGAUAUACAAAUUGAUUGCAAAUUGCAUGGAGAAAGAUUUCCUUCCUUCUAGGAUCAGUUUUGUGGAAUGGUCUCUAGUUCUAGGAUUACAGGAAAACUCCCUGUUCAGCUGUUGAUCGAUUGAUUAUAGCAGGGGUGUCAAACUCGUGUCGUCACGUGACGUAUCGGGACUUUCUCCCCCUUCACUAGUGUGGGCGUGGCCAGUGCGUGACGCAUCCGGCCCAUGGGCCGCGAAUUUGACAGCCCUGGAUUAUAGGCUUUUAGCAACCAAUAAAUAGAUUUUCUCCAGGAUGGUCCCUUGAGUCCUCCAGGGACAUAACCGUCACCACUGCAAUUGCAGCCAUCCACUGUGAUUGUCUUCAUCUUCUUUUUCCUUCUAACUUUCCCAGCAUUAUAUUGUAGACUUACCAAGAAUAAUUUUAUAAACCUCAAUUGUAUCUCCUGGUUUUCUUUAAGCCGAAGCAGCUCCAAUCCUGUCUUCUAUGGAACGUGUUCAAGCCCUAGAAUCAUUUGGGUUGCCCUCCAGUUCCUGAGUUCCUCUUAUGGUCACCACAGGUCACACAGUGUUUGGGAUGCUUGUAUGAAUUCCAGGAUUUUUACAUAAGGUGGCCUAGGAGGAGAGCCACGUUAGUCCAUAACUGCCAAAAAUCAAGAGAAGGCACUUUACCACUUUUUAAGACUAAUAUAUAAAAAAGCAUUAGUUUUCUGUUCAGUUAUAACUUUUCAUAAAAUUUGUUAGUUUGAUUUUUAAAUAGAUAUUUUGUGUGUGUGUGUGUGUGUGUGUGUGUAUGGGAUGAAGUUUGUGUUUAAGUGUUUUUUGUGUACGAGGGGCAUAGUUGAUGCUCUUGAAUGGCGAGACUUUGGCUGAAAUACUAUAUUUGUUUGGUGUGGCAUGCAAAGGGUCGGCAUUUCCCCUGCCCCACCCUGCCCUCCCUUUUCCUGGCAUUUGCACAGAUGAAUUGCUGGUCUAUACAGAAAAAGAUGGAAGCAUUCUGGAAGUUUCGCCCCUUUUUUUGCAGGAGCCUCACCCAGCUCAGGGCCCAGUGUUUUGGACAAAGGGAAGGGUGGGAAGUCGCCACUAAAGCCCUCGUCUUUUUUAGCUGCUGCAAAAGUAACGUCACUUCUGUUUUGUUCCUGAAACUGCCUUUUUUUUUUUUUUUGCUCUUUGCCUAUUUUCCUGUGUUCUUCCCAAGUUAUUUUUAGACUAGGCGAGCAGCGUAUUGGAAAAUUCCUGCCAUCACUGUUCCCGUUCAGUAACUGCUUAGAAGGGGUCGGUAGUGAACUCUGCUCCAAGGUUGCAUCUUCCUGGAGCUGGGCUGCCAGCCUCUCUCAGAGGAGUGAGAUCUCACCAUCGCAGGUCGGCCCAAGGCUGCCCCCAGCCCUCCCAGGGUCUGUUCCCAGGUUUAGUAGAAGUCCUCCCUGGCAUCAGUCCAGCCAUUGGUGAAUCUUCCUCUUGCCAUACCAGUAACUCUGCCAGCUCUGGACAGGUCACUCUCAGACCUGUGAUUGACAAGUAAUCAACCAAUUUGAAGGCUAAGAAGUCCCAGUGAAGAAUGAGUGCUGCAUAAGGCCGAUGCUGUCACUGUUGCUUAAAUUUAGGUGCUUCUUUUCACAACCAAAGAUGCUGCCUUGCAGCAGGAGCCCCCUAAUGCUCCUACGCUCACGUAGCACUCUUAGCCCCUUCCCAUCUGCCUCAUUGCUGGGGGGGGAAGCUGCUUAGAAACCUUCGCUGGCUCCAGCCGAGGCAGAGCGCCCUCCUACGAGAAUGCAGGACCAGUAGAGGGGGUGUCCAGUGUUUGAUUGCACCGGCUUUGCGGCAGGAUAUCCUGUCCUGCUGGAUUGAACCCUUGGCCCAUUUUGUUCAGCAGUCUAUUCCCCCAGUGGCCAACCAACUUCCCUGGGAAUCUUCUGAGUCCUACUUUGAAGUCAGCCAAACGAAUAGCCGGCAUAUUUUGUGAUAAAUCCAUUGAUAACAUAUCCAAAUUAUAAUGGUUAUCCAAAUGGAGCCAUGGAAGAAAAGAUCUUUAUAGAAUAGAAGAGUCCUACAAAAACUCCAAGCUUCAUAAUUUCAGAAAUAAAUGGAACAACAAUUAGAAGAAAAAAUCCCAUGGUUUCCUUGAUUUCAGAUCAAUUCAACAUUGUAUGAUAAAUUGCAACACACAUCUGUGUAUCUUUUUGAAAAAAAUGUUUUUAAUAGAAACUAAAGGCAUAAUUUCAAAAAUUUAUCAAAUUUGAUUUGAAAUAAAACAGAUUUUAUUUCAAUCUACUAUGGCAGAGGUGUCAAGUGACGUAUUGGGACUGAAAACAAACCCUAGGCCGGGAGUGGGACAGCCCUGCUCUACGGCCCAAGAGAAACUUAAGAGAAACAAUCAGAAGAUAAUACUUCAUAUUAUCGGCACCCUGAAGGAUUUUAUCAGCAUCCAAAAUGAAAAUACGUCAUAAAUGUUUAUAUUUGCAGUAUCAAACAUCAAUACAAAUGUUACAGAUAUGGUAUCUUCUCAAUAGACAGUACAAUGACAUGAUAGCAAGUCUGUAAAUUGAAGGAACAGAACAGAGCUGGAAGGGACCUUGGAGGUCUUCCAGUCCAACCCCCUGCUCAAGCAGAAGAACUGUCCUAUACCAUCUCAGACAAGUGACUGUCCAAUCUGUUUGUUGUCUCUGCGCCCCACGAGCCGGGCCUGCUGCUAGAAAGUGACUUGGAAAGUGUGGGGGAAGGGCCGUCAGGACUUACCUCGGGAGCACCGGCUUCCCUGGCUCAGCUCCAGGAGCCAGAGGCAGGCCAGGUGGAGGAGAUAACGAGGCCUCCGUCCCCUGACUCUUUCCCCCCCAGGCCAUGCCUCCAGACCCAGCUGAUGGCAAUCAGGCCUGGCUGGACCCUAGGUUUUGUAGGCAGGAGAGGCGGGAACAACAGAAGCAGGGGUGGGGCAGGCCUAGGAAGUGCUGAAUCAUGGAGCCACACCCCACAGGAUAUAAAGACAGCAAGAGCUGCUGUGCCUCUUUGUAGCAGGCAAAUUAACUGCUUAAUUAAGAGCUGAAGUACUGUUUGUUCCUGGCAUCGAGAGAGAUAACAGAGACACUUGGCAGACGCUCGCUACUUUGCUGCCAGAACUGAUAGUGCCGGCUAAUUAAGCCAUCGCUCGGACGGAGGCGAGAGGGGACAGAACACUGUUCUUAGAAACCUCCAGUGAUGAAGCACCCAUGAUUUCUGGAGGCAAGCUGUUCCACUGGUUAAUUGUCCUCACUGUUAGGAUGUUCUCACUUUCAGUGGAAAUGCAAUAAAAUAUCAGAGUUUAGAAGAAUGUGUUUAAAGAAAUGUCUCAUGGAACUAAACAAUAUAUUCAGUUCUUUCCAAAGCUCAGCCUGCCUCACAUAUUUAAGGGCUAGAAUAAAAAAUUGCAAAACAAAAGGCCUCAUUAAGUCUUUAUUUGUAAGAACCAAGUUAGUCAUUGCUAAACAAUGGAAAAAUCUGGAUAAUAUUUCAGUAGGUAGAUGGCAUAGGAUCUAGUAUGUAGCUUUACUUGAAGUCUCUGAAAAAAUCCAUCGUAGGUUGAGCUGAUGUACUGAAUCAUUGUUUUACAAGGAAUGUAGAAUUUUAUAAGCACCCUGGAAAUAUCUUGUACCAAACAUUGGCAUUUAAAAAUGUACUGACACUAACUAAUUUCAGGAGUCCGUUUUUUUUUUAAAAAAGUCUAACCUUCACCUUCGUGCAGGAAUUCAAAUUCGAUGCUGUCUGCAAUAACAAAUCCAGAUACAAUAACAUCACAUUGUCAUAUCACACCAAAGAUUCUUACUCUGCUUGUAAUCAGCAAUUAUUCCAAUAACUUUCUCAACCACGACAAGAUGGGUGGACUUCAACUCCCAGAAUCCCUCAGCCAGCGUACCUCAUUUGACUAUCCCCAAUCCUUCAUAUAUGCAUUUUAUUCAUUUAUUUUAUUUAUACAAUUUAUUGUCCAUUUUGUCAGGGUGGCUUACAAUCAUAAGAUAUUAAGAAAGUAUAAAGUGAAACAUAAAUUGAUACACAGGCAAACACUGCGGCUCAGUUAAAGAUGGGGAGGCUGGGAGGAGGAUGGGAUUUGUUGUGACCCUGCCUGUCCAAUGGGCAGAGCCACGUUUUUAGGCUCUUAUGGAAGAUUGGGAGGAUUGGAGCUGGCCUUACUCCAGGGAGCCAGAUGUUCCAAAGGGCAGAGAAGGCCCUUAUAUCCUGUCUCUACCUAUUAUUUUUAUAAAUAACUCAAGGCAGCAAACGUAUCUAAUAUAUUUUCCUCCUAUUUUCCCCACAACAACAGCCCUGUGAGGUGGGCUGGGUUGAGAGAGAGUGACUGGCCCAAAGUCACCCAGCUAGCUUUCAUGCCUAAGGCGGAACUAGAACUCACCGUCUCCUGGUGCCUUAAAUGAAGAACUUGGUGCCUGAAAUGAAGGAGCAUAGUGAUCAAACCAAUAUAUGCUGAUUUACUGCUAGAAAUCAUUUGUUAUUGAUUUGUUAUUGGCUUCUGCUCAUAUUAUUGUAUACUGUCAGAAAUUAGUUGUUAGGAACUAAUUCUAGCUUAGUAAAUUGUAGCCUUGAUACUGGUUAGCAUUAGUACCAAGUUUGUUGUCUUGCUUCUGUAUCUCAUUUCUGUUCUUGGCUUCAAAGCUAGGCACAUCCUUGAAAAUAUAGAAGAAACUGUUACCUAAGAAUAUCAGGCCCCAUAGAUAAAAGAACCAGAGUAGGGAGUUUCCUGCCUCAUAGAUUCUGAAUCCUGAAAGGAUUCUGUUGAAUAAACAACUUGGCCGGGGAGGGAAACCGCCCAUACACCAGGCCAUAGGAAUGCUCCAGAGAUAAGGUGGGCUGAGACGGGCCUGAACAAAGAAUGCUUUACCAUGUUGGUAACAAACCUUUGUCUCUGAUUGGGUAAACUUUGUUUCUAAUGGGGUAAAAUGUAUAUCAUACUCUGAGCCAUGCUCACAAGGGGUGUGGCUAUUACAUGCGUUUUGUCUGUAUGCUUUGGAUAUAGUUUUGUCACCCAGCCUUUUUACUUUGGCCAUCAAUAAAAAAAGCGGUUAUUUUUUGCAAGUCUCGUCUUGAGUCUCACUCUCUCUGGCAACUCAGUGGCUCGGGGAAACUUCUAGGACCUUACAUAACCAUUACACAAAACUGUCACUUUAAGGUAGAAGGCGGCAAGGGCAGUUCUGGGUGUUGAAGUCGACACAUCUUAAACUUGUUUAAGUUGAGAAAGACUGCUCUAUCCUGUUAAUAAUUGUUUUGAAUUUUGUUUUUGUCUUCUGGGCUAUUAAUUUAUUCCAACCAGUUCUGUGCCUUUUGAAAAACUGAUCAAUGUUCUCUUCACUUUCUUCUCCAUUAAUACAAAUGUGGAAACAGAAGGCCCAGGUUGAAUCUUAACAGCAUUCCACUCCAUGGCUCCACUCCAUGGCAGCAGUAUCCCCAAGGCCAUCAUCCUGCUUUUAUCAGAAUGACCAAUCUCCAGCUGCCAUGUUGCGCCCAAGCUGCCUUCUUGGGCUACGUUGGAGAGACUGCAGUGCAAGCAGAAAAGGGGUGCCCUCCAUUGCAAUGCUGGUCUCAUCAUGCCAUGGCCGCAGAGUCAGCCAGGCACCCAUUUAUAUGCCAGUUGAGUGGCAUUGAUCAUUAACCAGCUUCUUCAACAGAACAGUGCGAGGUACGUGGUCAGAUGCUUUGCUAAAAGCAGAAUCUAUUAUGCUCUAGUUACCUGAUGAGAAAGUGAGAUCAGUCCGUCAAGGUUAGUCAUGGCACUCCAGUCCAUGCUGCAUUCUGGUGACUAGGGCUUUACUUUCAGGGUGUCCUUGGUCUCCCUUGUUGCCUUGUGGUUGUGUUUUUCCUUCCUUCCUUCCUUCCUUCCUUCCUUCCUUCCUUCCUUCCUUCCUUCCUUCCUUCCUUCCUUCCUUCCUUCCUUCCUUCCUUCCCGUUGGGGGUGGCUCUGCCUCUCUGGUGUGUGCCUUUCCCUGCUUUCUCUUGCUGGAAGGCCUGGCUGAGGGCCUCUCCUGGUCCCUGUCCAGGGUGCCGGUUGGCCCUUUCUCUCCAGCCCUCAUUCAUUCCGAUGAAAGAUGCUUUUCCCACUGCAAGCGGGUGCUGCCCAUCCGUUAGAGGAGGCUGGCUUGUUUCUUGAUUCCAAGGGAUCAGGCAGUGAGGGCUGCGGGUUGAAAGGCUGGCACACACCCUGUGGCUUUUCCAUUGGGGCAAAAAAAACCCAGCCCUCCAAAGAUACUAGUGUUCAAUAUAGAUAGAUACACAGGUACUCCUGGACUUCCGACCAUAUUUAAUGAUGGUUUGAACUUAAACGGGACUUACAAACCAUCCUCAAAGUUAUGACCGUUGCACCCUCAUGCAUCCACAUGACCUGACACUUGACCACAGGUCUGCGUUUACAAUGGUUCCAGCAUCUUGUGGUGAUGUGAUUGCAAUCUGCAACCUUUGCCACUGGCGUCUGACAAGCAAGGUCAGUGGGAGAAGCUGGGUUUGCUUAAUGACCAUGGUAUAAAUGGUUGCUAAACUAGUUUUUUUUUUUUUUUGAAUUUAUAUCCCGCCCUUCUCCGAAGACUCAGGGCGGCUUACACAGUGUUAAGCAAUAGUCUUCAUCCAUUUGUAUACUAUAUACAAAGUCAACUUAUUGCCCCCCAACAAUCUGGGUCCUCAUUUUACCUACCUUAUAAAGGAUGGAAGGCUGAGUCAACCUUGGGCCUGGUGGGACUUGAACCUGCAAUAUUGCAAGCAGUUGCUGUUAAUAAUAGGCUGCAUUAGCCUGUUGCGCCACCAGAGGCCCCUGUCUAUAUAUUUAUAUAUAGACAGUCUAUAUAUAUAUAUAUAUAUGAGAACUGUCUAUAUAUUUAUCUGACUUUAAUAAUAAUAAUAACAACAGAGUUGGAAGGGACCUUGGAGGCCUUCUAGUCCAACCCCCUGCCUAGGCAGGAACCCUACACCAUCUCAGUCAGAUGGUUAUCCAACAUUUUCUUAAAAAUUUCCAGUGUUGGAGCAUUCACAACUUCUGCAGGCAAGUCGUUCCACUUAUUAAUUGUUCUAACUGUCAGGAAAUUUCUCCUUAGUUCUAAGUUGCUUCUUUCCUUCAUCAGUUUCCACCCGUUGCUUCUUGUUCUACCCUCAGGUGCUUUGGAGAACAGCCCGACUCCCUCUUCUUUGUGGCAACCCCUGAGAUAUUGGAACACUGCUAUCAUGUCUCCCCUAGUCCUUCUUUUUAUUAAACUAGACAUACCCAGUUCCUGCAACCGUUCUUCAUGUGUUUUAGCCUCCAGUCCCCUAAUCAUCUUUGUUGCUCUUCUCUGCACUCUUUCUAGAGUCUCAGCAUAUUUUUACAUCGCGGCGACCAAAACUGAAUGCAGUAUUCCAAGUGUGGCCUUACCAAGGCAUUAUAAAGUGGCACUAACACUUCAUGUGAUCUUGAUUCUAUCCCUCUCUUUAUGCAACCCAGAACUGUGUUGGCUCUUUUGGCAGCUGCUGCACACUGCUGGCUCAUAUCUAAAUGAUUGUCCACUAGGCCUCCAAGAUCCCUCUCACAGGUACUACUAUUGAGCAAGGUACCACAUACACGGAACCUGUGCAUUUUGGGUUUUUUGCCUAAAUGUAGAACCUUACUUUUUUCACUAUUGAAUUUCAUUUUGUUAGAGAGCGCCCAAUGUUCAAGUCUGUCAAGAUCCUUCUUAACUUGAGCCUAUCUUCUGGAGUGUUAGCUAUUCCUGCCAGCUUGGUGUCAUCUGCAAAUUUGAUGACUUCCCCAUCUAUCCCCUUGUCCAACUCAUUGAUGAAGAUGUUGAAGAGUACUGGGCCUAAAACAGAGUCGUGGGGUACUCCACUGCAUACUUCCCUCCAUGUGGAUGUAGUUCCGUUGAGGACUACACGUUGAGUGCGGUUGGUCAGCCAGUUACGAAUCCAUCUGGUAGUGGUGUUAUCUAACCUACAUUUUUCUACUUUAUCUAGUAGUAGGUUAUGGUGUACUUUAGCAAAUGCUUUACUGAAGUCCAAGUAAAUUAUAUCGACAGCAUUCCUCUGGUCUACUAAUUUUGUCACUUUGUCAAAGAAUGCAAUAAGAUUAGUCUAGCAUGAUCUGUUUUUGACAAACCCAUGUUGGCUUUUGGUUAUUACUUUGUUUGCUUCUAGGUGUUCGGUGAUUCGUUGCUUGAUUAUCUUUUCCAGAAUCUUCCCCGGUAUUGAGGUCAGGCUGAUAGGUCUGUAGUUUCCUGGAUCUGUUUUUUUUUUCCUUUUUUGAAGAUGGGAACUACAUCAGCUCUUUUCCAGUCCUCAAACAGUUCCCCUUGAAAGAUAUAGUUCAGUGGUUCUGAGAUCUCGUCUGGCAGUUCCUUCAGAACCUUGGGGUGUAAUCCAUCCGGUCCUGGUGAUUUGAACUCGUCUAGGGUAGACAGAUGUUCACUUACCAUUUUCUUCCCUAUUUUAACUUUGUGUUCCUAAUCUGUUUUUUGUGGUGCUGUUUUUGAUAGGUUGGAUUGUUUUUUCCUUUUGUGUAAAGACAGGUGCUAAAAAAUGAGUUAAGUAGAUCUGCUUUCUCCCUGUUGCUUGUCACCUUCUUGCCACUUCCUCCCAGCAAUGGGCCAAUUGUUUCCUUGACUUUUUUCUUGUUUUUAACAUGUUGGAAGAAGCUUUUUUUGUUAUUUUUUACUUUUGUCCCUAGCCUUUGUUCGUUGUGAGCCUUAGCUUUCCUCACUUCAUCUUUACAGGCUCGGGCUAUUUGCUGAUAUUCUGCCUUAGUUAUUUGCCCCUCUUUCCACUUUUUAUACUUGUUCUUUUUGUCUUUCAAUUUGUCAGAUAGUUCUUUAUGCAUCCAUGCUUUGAUGCUUACUUUUUAUUUUUUUAUUUAAAAAAUGGUUUCAUGCUAACAAGCAUGAACAGGAGAAAUCUGUGAGAUGCUUUUAAAUUUAUAUGACAAAAAGUAAUAGUCCCUUAAUAAUAAAUAUUUCAGAUUUCAAUGUAGCGUAAAAGAGAUCUUUGCCAAGUCUUUAAUUCAGGCCUGAAUAUGACCAUAGGCAAGAUGGCCUCAAUCUCAUUCCAUUCCAUGGAUGCUAUUUUUGAAAAGCGAGUUCAUUGUUAAUAUUGCUUGGCUUUGCAUUUAACUCACUACCAGGUGCUAUAGCAGAUAAGAGUGCAAGACAUAAAUCAAAUACAGAAGCAAAGCUAAUAUUAUUUUUUCCAAUUUAUUAAAUUUUUUAUUGUGAGUUUAUGGUUUUCAGCUCCUAAAAAUGUUUAUAAACCCUCAAACAUACUCAUAAGGCCUUCAUAUUAAAUGAAAUGGUUUCUGAAUCAUGAGUAGUUUAUACUCCAUUUAUUAUUCUUUAUCAAUGCAUAACUUUAAACAGCAUUUUGAUAAUUUUUCAUAAUUUAUUUUUAUUUUAAACAAUGUGGAUUAACUUGGUUAAUCUAGUAUUAGAGAGUAGUAGAUGGUAUCUAGAUGACUCAUGUUUUGACAUACUACAGAAUGGAUCUUUGUACAUUCAUGUGCCUCCUCUUAACCAUUUUUAAAAAAAUCAUUUGUACACUUAUUUUAUUAAUUAAAUUUAUUAAAUUUAUUAAGUGUUUCAGCUGAUACUUCAUAGAUGGGUGCUUCAAUGAAAGUGAACUGUAAUUUUUCCUGUAGCUUCCUUAAGCAUUCCUAUAGAGUUAAAUAGAUAUUUUUAGAUUCCCUGAAAGAGCAGCAAAGCAGCUGAUCCAUGAUUUUUGUUUUUUAUCUUAAGUGCACUUUGCAAGCUGCUUUCAGCCACAGCACUGGCUGCAAGGCAUGAAUAAUAUUACUGCUUUAAUGUGAACAGAAGCAACUGCUAAUUGGAAUCACAUUUUAAUGCCUCUGAAGUGCAGAUCUCCUCAAUUUAUAACCGCAAUUGAGCCCAGAAGUUCGGUUGUUAAGUCAAAAAUUCAGGCAGUCGUUAAGUAGGUCACUAUAUGACCUGAGUAAAUUUUAUGAGCGUUUUAUGAGCGUCAUAAAGUGAGUCAUCAUGGUUGUUAAGGUUAUUAAGUGAAUCCAGCAUAUCCAGUUGCAUUUGUUCCCGUUUUCUGCUGAAAAAACGUCAAAAAUCUCAGCCCCACAACUGUUGGAUGCUGCAGCCUGUCAUAAAUACUGGUCAGCUUCCAAGCACCCGAAAUACAUUUGUGACUUUGUCAUCAAGUGAUGAGGUAUUUUCAGCACUAAAUUGUGACACCGAAUGAAUCAUCGAGAACUAACUGUCAACUCUAUGGUAGUAUCAAAUAGUUCUCUGUGCUUUCAGGAUCAGAGGGCAUUCUCAGUUGUUGUUUCAAAAUCUGCCAUCUAUGGGUUAGCAAUGGCUUCAGAUGCUUAACCCUGUUUAAAUGAUAGCUACAGAUUUGAGAUUGAUUCAUUAAAAAUUAUAUUUAGUGCAUGCUGGAUUUUCCAAAGAAUGCAUUUGAGCCAAGGGGCAUCUGACUUUUAUGAUGGCAUCUGUGGGCUCACGGAGCCACAUGAUAUAGUCAUGGGAUCAUUUAGCGUUGUUUUGGAAUCCGAUGUUAAUGUACCUUAGUAGAUUUAUGGGAAAAAUCUUUAAACAUUAAAGAUAUUGAUGUAAUGUUGAAUCAUAAACCAAAGCUUUGGGAUUUGACUGCUUAUGAGGAAUUGUGCUGCUAUGAGAGUUGGCAAAAGGAAUUAUAUUAAGAAAUAGGUAAAGUCAUUUUACUCUGGCUACGAAGGAAUGUUUUCCUACCAAUCAAAGGAUGCAGCAGAAUAUCUUACUAGGGCAGAUAUUUUGAGAUAGCUUACAAAAAUAUCUUGUAUGGUUAUAAAUAAUGAAUUCAUUGGGAAACUGAUGACUCUUGAUAAGUUGUAAAACAGGUUUUUUGUUUGUACUUUUAAUUUUUUAAAGUUUCUUUUAUUCUAAUAUUAGAAAUUGGGUUUUUUUUUACAAAAAAAAAGAUACUAAAUAAACAUAUUUUUAAAAUUGCUAUCUAUCUAUCAAUGUACAGAAAAAUAGAUAUAAAAUACAGUUAAAAAUUCAGCCCCAGAGGAAUCUGAUACAAUAUCCCUGACCACUGAAUUCAGUGAAGGAGGCUGCAUUGGACCAAGAAAUAAUAGAAAAAAGCUGAAACUAUUAAGUCUAUUCCUUUGUUCUUUCAUUUGACAUAUUUUAGCAGCAUUUUUUUAUAUCGGCUGUUGUAUCAUCGAUAUGAAUAUGUCCUAGAAAAAUGAGGCAGUUGCCACUGGUGUCUGUCAUUAUUACAAAACAGACUUAUUAAAGACACUUGUUCUACACAGCUAAUGUCAGAAUGAAGACUAAAAAAAUAAUGAUCUGCCAUAAUCUUUUUUUUUACUUUUGUUGCAUUAUGAGCAAUUAUAUGUUGUCAUUUUCCAAGGUCUUUGCAGAUUUUCUGAGUAGUGGCCCUUCUUAUAGGUUCCUGCAAACAGUCAUCAAUCUCAAGGAAAUUGUCAGAUACAGCUGGUGUGAAAUGCCAUCCAAUGCCACGUUCUGGUCACAGCGCUUCCCACGGAAGCCCUCAAGCUACUACACAAGUGGGCACAAAGUUCCGGAUCAUCUACAGCCAGGUGUCUCAAACUUGGCAACUUUAAGAUGUGUGGACUUCAACUCCCAGAAUUUUCCAGCCAAUUUGCUUCCCCCAGGACUUCGCCAACUUCCUGACCUUCGAACCUUCCGCCGCGAGCUUAAGACACAUCUAUUUAUCUGCGCAGGACUGGACUAGAAUUUUAAAUUUUUAAAUGUUUAAAUUUUAAAUCUGGUUUUAAAUGGGGUUUUAUUAUUUAUAUCUCUAUUUUAAAUAUUCGGCCUAUGUAAUAAGUUUUUUAAAUUAAUGUUUUACUCUGUAUAUUUCUAUGUUUUUUAUAUGGCUGUAAACCGCCCUGAGUCCCUAGGGAGAUAGGGCGGUAUAAAAGUGUGAAUAAUAAGUGUGAAAGUGUGAAUAAUAAAAGUGUGAAUAAUAAAUUUCAACCCUGAUAUUUCGCAAUAUUUGGGGUACAGAAGCCCAUAUGUGCUGUUUGGGUAAUUCUGGCACAGUUUUUUCUUUGUUUCAUAGUUUCGGCAUAUGUGGGAGAGAGAGGUCUUCAUAUUGGUUCAUCGAUAAAGAGAAAACAGUUUGUGCUUUAGAGGGUUGAAAGCAGAUCUUGUAACCUUUAAAGACUUGUAAAGCCCACUGGCAGUACCUGCUGUGUCCAGGUCACUGUUUCCUAACCUUGGCCAUUUUAAGGCAGGUGGAUUUCAACUCCCACAAUUCUCAGCCACCAUGCAGUACAUGCUGGGAGGGGAAUUCUGGGAGUUGAAGUCUCUGCGUCUUCAAGUUGCCAAGGUUGGGAAAUCUUGAUCUAGAGUUAAAGAAAAACUCAGCACUGUCUGUUUCUGCGCCUCAGUCAACCACACUCCAGGAAUGGGCAUCAUUGGAGGUGGAAAGACGAGUCCUAUGGGAGCUACCAGGCCACCUGCACAGACUAAUUGUGGACAUCCAUAGACUCUUCUGGCCUUUCAUCAUCACUGAAGCCAGAACAUUUGACCAGCUGGCUUUGACAUAAUGAAAAGUCACGGUUGCCUCCAAAGUGAAGGAGGACAUUCACAGCUGUGUUCAGCCUUCUGAGGCUGGAAUCAACAUUCCCGCUGCUUCCAUACUUGGGCAGGCGCUUCCCCUCAUGGUUUUGGGCUCCCGAUCCAGGUUGGCAUCCAACCCAGCCCAGGGAGUGUCAGUUUAAAUUGGCUGGCAGCUACACGGUCAGGAUUUCUUCCUUCUCCUUAACAGAAGGAAGAAAAAAAGAGUUCCUUCAGCAAGGAUUUGGAUUUCUUUCCAGCAGAGAAGCAGUGAGUCAUCCAUUCAAUAACAAAAUAAUAACAGAUUAAUUGAAAAAAUUGGAAGGGACUUUGGAGGUCUUCUAGUCUAACCCUAUACCAAGCAGGAGACUCUACGUCAUUCUGGACAAAUGGCUGUCCUUAAAAACCUCUAGUGAUGAAAGCACCAACAACUUCUGAAGGCACACCCUUCCACUGGUUCCUUGUUCUCAUUGUUAGGAGAAUUAAGUCUCCUUAAUUCUAGGUUGCUUUUUCUCCUUAGUUAGCUUCCAUCUAUUACUCCGGAAAAUAGGUUGUCCCACACCUCUUUGUGGCAGCCCCUCAAAUCCUGGAAGAUUGCUAUCAUGUCACCCCUAGCCCUUCUUUCUACCACAUUUCAGACAGCAAUACAAUUGAACGUGUCCAGAAAUAUUUUACAAGAAGAGUUCUCCACUCCUCUGAAUACAACAAAAUACUUUAUCCCACUAGACUUGAAAUCUUGGAUUUAGAAAACUUAGAAUAUGCAUAUGCACCAAGACAAAUUCCUUGUGUGUCCAAUCACACUUGGCCAAUAAAAAUUCUAUUCUAUUCUAUUCUAGAACUCUGCCGCCUUUGACAGGACCUGUGCUUAACUCAUAGAAUCAUCUAUUGCAAUGUCCUUCCUGUUGAAGACUACUUCAGCUUCAAUUGCAUGAAUACACGAGCACACAAUAGAUUUAAGCUUAAUGUUAACCGCUCCAAUCUUGAUUGCAGAAAAUAUGGCUUCAGUAACAAGAGUUGUUAAUACUUGGAACACACUACCUGACUCUGUGGUCUCUUCCCAAAAUCCCCAAAGCUUUAACCAAAAACUAUCUACUAUUGACCUCACCCCAUUCCUAAGAGGCCUGUAAGGGGCGUGCAUAAGAGCACCAAUGUGCCUACCGUUCCUGUCCUAUUGUUUCCCUUCGUUAUAUCCAAUUAAUAUAAUUAUUACAUACUUAUGCUUAUAUAUUGUAUAGUUAUUUCAUGCUUAUGCUUAUAUAUACUGUUGUGACAAAAUAAAUAAAUAAAAUAAAUAAAUGAAACAAACCCAA